rnacentral:rRNA from 1 species
UACGAAGGGGGCUAGCGUUGCUCGGAAUCACUGGGCGUAAAGGGUGCGUAGGCGGGUCUUUAAGUCAGGGGUGAAAUCCCGAGGCUCAACCUCGGAACUGCCUUUGAUACUGCAAAUCUCGAGUCCGGAAGAGGUGAGUGGAAUUCCUAGUGUAGAGGUGAAAUUCGUAGAUAUUAGGAAGAACACCAGUGGCGAAGGCGGCUCACUGGCCCGGUACUGACGCUGAGGUGCGAAAGCGUGGGGAGCAAACAGG